AGUGAACGCUGGCGGUAGGCCUAACACAUGCAAGUCGAACGGCAGCACAGGAGAGCUUGCUCUCUGGGUGGCGAGUGGCGGACGGGUGAGGAAUACAUCGGAAUCUACUCUGUCGUGGGGGAUUACGUAGGGAAACUUACGCUAAUACCGCAUACGACCUACGGGUGAAAGCAGGGGACCUUCGGGCCUUGCGCGAUUGAAUGAGCCGAUGUCGGAUUAGCUAGUUGGCGGGGUAAAGGCCCACCAAGGCGACGAUCCGUAGCUGGUCUGAGAGGAUGAUCAGCCACACUGGAACUGAGACACGGUCCAGAUUCCUACGGGAGGCAGCAGUGGGGAAUAUUGGACAAUGGGCGCAAGCCUGAUCCAGCCAUACCGCGUGGGUGAAGAAGGCCUUCGGGUUGUAAAGCCCUUUUGUUGGGAAAGAAAUCCAGCUGGCUAAUACCCGGUUGGGAUGACGGUACCCAAAGAAUAAGCACCGGCUAACUUCGUGCCAGCAGCCGCAGUAA
rnacentral:rRNA from 1 species